GGGGGCAGGGUUCUAGAGUCUCUGAAGGAGGCGAUGAACCGUCGAGCGGCACAUGAGGGCCUAGGGUUCUCUUUUUUUUUUCUUUUUUAACUGUUGUUUUGAAAAUAAAAGGGGAGGUUGCUGAUUAGGUUAAUAGGACGUUAAGGCGCGAUGAAAACGGCGUCGUUCGGUGCUGAGACCCGCGCGGUGACUCGACCCGAGGGCAGGAUCCAAGUACAUGGGUUUUUUCGAUUUAUUUGCGCAACAAGUCCCCUUCUCUUUUGUGUUGUUUCAAUCUGAUUUUGUUUUUUUUA
rnacentral:lncRNA from 1 species